UACGGAGGGGGCUAGCGUUGUUCGGAAUUACUGGGCGUAAAGCGCACGUGGCGGCUUUGUAAGUUAGAGGUGAAAGCCCGGGGCUCAACUCCGGAAUUGCCUUUAAGACUGCAUCGCUCGAAUUGUGGAGAGGUAAGUGGAAUUCCGAGUGUAGAGGUGAAAUUCGUAGAUAUUCGGAAGAACACCAGUGGCGAAGGCGACUUACUGGACACAUAUUGACGCUGAGGUGCGAAAGCGUGGGGAGCAAACAGG
rnacentral:rRNA from 1 species